GCCAUGGCGCAGUGGUAGAGCAUUUGCUUGGUAGGCUGAAGCUGCCAGGUUCAAUUCCCGGCAUCUCCA
rnacentral:tRNA from 1 species